rnacentral:rRNA from 1 species
CUACGGGGAGGCAGCAGUGGGGAAUCUUGCGCAAUGGGGGAAACCCUGACGCAGCGACGCCGCGUGGAGGAUGAAGGCCUUCGGGUUGUAAACUCCUUUUCUUAGGGAAAAUGAUGAUGGUACCUAAGGAAUAAGCCACGGCUAACUCUGUGCCAGCAGCCGCGGUAAGACAGAGGUGGCGAGCGUUGUUCGGAAUUACUGGGCUUAAAGGGCGCGUAGGUGGUAGGGUAAGUCCGGGGUGGAAUCCUAUGGCUUAACCAUAGAACUGCCUUGGAGACUGCUUUACUUGAGUCAGUAAGGGGAGGGCAGAAUUCCUGGUGUAGCGGUGAAAUGCGUAGAUAUCAGGAGGAAGGCCGGUGGCGAAGGCGGCCCUCUGGUACUGGACUGACGCUGAGGCGCGAAAGCGUGGGGAGCGAACAGGAUUAGAUACCCUGGUAGUCCACGCCCUAAACGGUGGGCACUAGGUGUAGGGCUCGUAAGGGUUCUGUGCCGAAGGGAAACCAUUAAGUGCCCGCCUGGGGAGUACGGCCGCAAGGUUGAAACUCAAAGGAAUUGACGG